CCCUUAGAUGUUCUGGGCCGCACGCGCGCUACACUGACCAGUGCAACAAGCAUCCGUCCUUGGCCGACAGGCUCGGGCAAUCUUUGAACGCUGGUCGUGAUGGGGAUAGACUUUUGCAAUUUUUGGUCUUCAACGAGGAAUUCCUAGUAAACGCAAGUCGUCAACUUGCAUUGAUUACGUCCCUGCCCUUUGUACACACCGCCCGUCGCACCUACCGAUUGAAUGGUCCGGUGAAGCCUCCGGAUUGGCGCGCACCUCGGUGCCGCCGAGAAGUUGGCUAAACCUUACCAUUUAGAGGAAGGUGAANUCGUAACA
rnacentral:rRNA from 1 species